rnacentral:snoRNA from 1 species
CAGGCCCUGACUGAAGGCCAGCAGUUGUAUUAUAGCUGUUGGUUUCAUGCAGAGGCCCAAAGGACUGUCUUCCUGUGGUUUGUUGGCUAUUCUGGAACCCCAGCAGAGAAUGGCCCUUUCAUUGGAAGAAACAGUG